CUGCUCGCGUCGACAGUCCGGCGCUUUGCGUCGGACUGAUGGCUGGUGGCCUAAAGCCACCGGCCU
rnacentral:sRNA from 1 species